GACGAACGCUAGCGGCGUGCUUAACACAUGCCAGUCGAACGGAAAGGCCCUGCUUUUGUGGGGUGCUCGAGUGGCGAACGGGUGAGUAACACGUGAGUAACCUGCCCUUGACUUUGGGAUAACUUCAGGAAACUGGGGCUAAUACCGGAUAGGAGCUCCUGCUGCAUGGUGGGGGUUGGAAAGUUUUGGCGGUUGGGGAUGGACUCGCGGCUUAUCAGCUUGUUGGUGGGGUAGUGGCUUACCAAGGCUUUGACGGGUAGCCGGCCUGAGAGGGUGACCGGCCACAUUGGGACUGAGAUACGGCCCAGACUCCUACGGAGGCAGCAGUGGGGAAUAUUGCACAAUGGGCGGAAGCCUGAUGCAGCAACGCCGCGUGCGGGAUGACGGCCUUCGGGUUGUAAACCGCUUUCGCCUGUGACGAAGCGUGAGUGACGGUAAUGGGUAAAGAAGCACCGGCUAACUACGUG
rnacentral:rRNA from 1 species